rnacentral:rRNA from 1 species
UACGGAGGGUGCGAGCGUUGUCCGGAAUCAUUGGGCGUAAAGAGCUCGUAGGCGGUUUGUCGCGUCUGCCGUGAAAGCCCGGGGCUUAACCCCGGGUCUGCAUUCGAUACGGGCUAGCUAGAGUGUGGUAGGGGAGAUCGGAAUUCCUGGUGUAGCGGUGAAAUGCGCAGAUAUCAGGAGGAACACCGGUGGCGAAGGCGGAUCUCUGGGCCAUUACUGACGCUGAGGAGCGAAAGCGUGGGGAGCGAACAGG